GUAGUUUGAUCGUGGCUCAGAACGAACGCUGGCGGCAUGCCUAACACAUGCAAGUCGAACGAGAUCUUCGGAUCUAGUGGCGCACGGGUGCGUAACGCGUGGGAAUCUGCCCUUGGGUGCGGAAUUAACUUCUCGAAAGGGAUGCUAAAUACCGCAUAAUGUCGUAAGACCAAAGAUUUUAUCGCCCAAGGAUGAGACCCGCGUAAGA
rnacentral:rRNA from 1 species